GACGUAGGGGGCCAGCGUUGUUCGGAAUUACUGGGUGUAAAGGGUUCGUAGGCGGUGCGGCAAGUCGGGAGUGAAAUCUCUGGGCUUAACCCAGAGGCUGCUUCCGAAACUGCUGUGCUUGAGUGUGGGAGAGGCGCGUGGAAUUGCAGGUGUAGCGGUGAAAUGCGUAGAUAUUCGGAAGAACACCAGUGGCGAAGGCGGCUCACUGGUCCGGUACUGACGCUGAGGUGCGAAAGCGUGGGGAGCAAACAGG
rnacentral:rRNA from 1 species